rnacentral:lncRNA from 1 species
GCUGUCUUCACGGCGUCCGGCCUGCGGUGUGAGAGCUCUGCCCUCAAUCCUGAACCCUCGCCUGGCACAUCUGCAAGGACCACAGUGUCUCGUGAAGAUUGAGAAGCAGCAGUGACGGUUCAGGUGCUCAGAACUGGGGAAGCCACUGACGCUCAUGUAACUGAUGCAGACUUGACUCAAAGAGGUUUGUGGGUGGAACCUGGAAGUGGGGGGAUGCCGUGUCCUAAACCCAGUCUGUAGAUUGUGCCUCAGCUCAGGCACUUCUCUCUGCCAGACAGUUGACUGCCUCUUGGUGGUACCGUGUCCGCUGUGACCGACGCAGCCUCCAUCCUCUGACUCAUUUGUCUCAGGAAUGGGAGCCAGUUGAAGAACUGGGGUCUCUGGGGGGACGGUCAUGGGGCCACCAGUGUCCAGAGAGGGGGAACCCAGCAGAUCCCGGGUCAGGCUGGGGACCGAGGGAGACUCAGGCAUGGACCUUUAUCUGUGCCUUGAUCUGUCCAAUAAAUAUGGUGCUUGGCACCUGACCCACUGGUGACUGAGCAGAGGUCCCUGAUGCCACUUGCACACAACUGAUGAGGUGACAGAUGGUAGGGAAGGUGCUGAGGGGCUGCUUCGACAGGGUGUCUGAGGGGUAGCAGGGGAGGGGGGAGCUGGCAAUGCGGGACCACGUGCACGCGGAGGGGCAGACAGGGCACGGGCACUCGGGGUGCGUGUAGAGAAACCUGGGCCGAGGUGGCCAUGGGGAGAGGUGUAUUUUCUUCUAACUGGAGUGGGCAGCCUCCGAGGCAGUGACCUGGGAGAGGAUUAGACUCUGUCUACACUUUAGAAGGUUGUUCUGGCCGCAGCUGAGGUGGAUGGUGGAAGGUGAGCCAAGGCUGCUGCAGGAGCAGGCUGGCGACGGCGGCGGUGCUUUGGCACCGGGGCACCCGCGGUGGAAAUGGCGAGGACCUGGAAGAUCCAGGGUUUGUGUGGCGGAGAAGCCGAGGGGAUGUGCUGUUGGGUGGGUGUGCUUGCCUGGAUGCUGUGGAGAUGGUGUGUUUGGAGGGUGUGACUACUGGAAGGGCUGCGGCGCCCCCAAGAGGCUGGACAGGAGAGGACCUACAGCAGAAGAGAGAGGGCUGAAAAGGCCAAAGUUGGAGAACGGAAGUUUUCCCCUAAUUUUAAAGGUUUUAAACUUCUGCACAGAUAUAAAGCAUCUGUCUUACGAAUUUGUGGAAUAGACAAUUCAUAAUUAAAGAAUUAGCUUUUGUCUUUCUGCACCAUAUUAAACACUGUCUCUGAGCGGAAAUUACCACAACACUGGAAAUCAACUAAACUUCCAUAAAACUUUACAAAAGGAAGAAAACACAUUCUCUGAUAUGGUUCACGAAUCCGCAGUGGUUCACGAAUCCGACUAGGAACCUUGAGGUUGCGGGUUCGGACCCUGCCCUUGCUCAGUGGGUUAAGGAUCCGGCGUUGCCGUGAGCUGUGGUGUAGGUUGCAGACGCGGCUCGGAUCCCGCGUUGCUGUGGCUCUGGCGUAGGCCGGUGGCUACAGCUCCGAUUUGACCUCUAGCCUGGGAACCUCCAUAUGCCGCGGGAGCGGCUCAAGAAAAGGCAAAAAGACCAAAAAAAAUUUUUUUUAAUGGGCAAUUUAAAGAAUUUAAUGAUGAUUCAGAUACUGCUCUAGAGAUGUGCCACAAAGUAAACCCUCUCGUUAUAUUUCUAGGGGAUUAAGGAAAAGAGUGGGCUCAGGCAGUAGCAGUACAGCCCUCCAGGGUUUGAAAGUUCACCCUGAGGCCUCUUGUGCAGACUUCUGAAAUGCCCUGUUUUCGCCAGCUCCCAGGGAGCUGCCACCAGAGGGGGCACAUCCGGAGGAAGCACUGAAGGAAAUCUGAACAAACUCCCCUCCUGAAGCCUCCGCUUACUCUCUGCUCCUUCCCAGGUGGCCGAUGUGACAGCGAUGGCAGAUGUGGCAGCAAUGGCAGAUGCUGACGCUGGAGCUUGAGAAUCUUGUCCUUAUAACGUUUCUCUUAUGAAAGGAAUGCGAAUAUUUCUCUUGUAAAAGCGUGUCUGUUAAAAACAUUUCAAGAUUUUUAAAGCUUUUUAGAGACAUAAGUCCCUAAUGUCCGUAGAGGUUUAAAAAUGGAACCAAAACACGACAUGAAACAAUGGUAUGAAAUAACCCGUCUGAUGCGCCAUGUCCUCUACCGGCCUUAAUGGGAAAUAAAAACACCAGCUUUAACUG